CGCGUCUUACCAUGCAAGUUCGCUACGAGAAAACCCCGCGCUUGCCGGGGGAGUAAAGUGGCGCACGGGUGAGUAACGCGCUGGGUAAUCUACCCUCGAAUUGGGGAUAACACACCGAAAGGUGUGCUAAUACCGAAUAAGACCACGAUCCCCACGGGGAUUGCGGUCAAAGAUGGCCUCUGCUUGCAAGCUGUCGUUUGAGGAUGAGCCCGCGUACCAUUAGCUUGUUGGUGGGGUAAUGGCCUACCAAGGCAACGAUGGUUAGCUGGUCUGAGAGGAUGGCCAGCCACACUGGAACUGGAACACGGUCCAGACUCCUACGGGAGGCAGCAGUGAGGAAUUUUGCGCAAUGGGGGAAACCCUGACGCAGCAACGCCGCGUGAGUGAAGAAGGCCCUCGGGUUGUAAAGCUCUGUCAAGUGGGAAGAACCUUUUUCGGUCGAAUAUCCCGAGAAACUGACGGUACCGCUGAAGGAAGCACCGGCUAACUCCGUGCCAGCAGCCGCGGUAAUACAGAGGGUGCAAGCUUUAUUC
rnacentral:rRNA from 1 species